GUAAAUAUAGUUUAACCAAAAAUAUUAGAUUGUGAAUCUAAUGAUAGAAGCUAACAUCUUCUUAUUUACC
rnacentral:tRNA from 1 species